rnacentral:tRNA from 1 species
GAGGGUAUAGCUCAGGGGUAGAAUGUGUGCUUAGCAUGCAUGAGGUCCUGGGUUCAAUCCCCAGCACCUCCA